GACGAACGCUGGCGGCGUGCUUAACACAUGCAAGUCGAACGGUAAGGCCCUUCGGGGUACACGAGUGGCGAACGGGUGAGUAACACGUGGGUGAUCUGCCCUGCACUUCGGGAUAAGCCUGGGAAACUGGGUCUAAUACCGGAUAGGACUCCUGGCUUCAUGGUUGGGGGUGGAAAGCUUUUGCGGUGUGGGAUGGGCCCGCGGCCUAUCAGCUUGUUGGUGGGGUAAUGGCCUACCAAGGCGGCGACGGGAAGCCGGCCUGGGAGGGUGACCGGUGACACUGGGAGUGAGAUACGGCCCAGACUCCUACGGGAGGCAGCAGUGGGGAAUAUUGCACAAUGGGCGCAAGCCUGAUGCAGCGACGCCGCGUGAGGGAUGACGGCCUUCGGGUUGUAAACCUCUUUCAGCUAUGACGAAGCGCAAGUGACGGUAGUAGCAGAAGAAGGACCGGCCAACUACGUGCCAGCCGCCGCAGUAA
rnacentral:rRNA from 1 species